GUCCUUGUAGCGCAAUGGAUAGCACGUUGGGCUUCUAAUCCAAAGGUCGUGAGUUCGAAUCCCAUCUGGGAUA